AGCAGCAGCCGCGGUAAUACGUAGGGUGCGAGCGUUAAUCGGAAUUACUGGGCGUAAAGCGUGCGCAGGCGGUUAUAUAAGACAGAUGUGAAAUCCCCGGGCUCAACCUGGGACCUGCAUUUGUGACUGUAUAGCUAGAGUACGGUAGAGGGGGAUGGAAUUCCGCGUGUAGCAGUGAAAUGCGUAGAUAUGCGGAGGAACACCGAUGGCGAAGGCAAUCCCCUGGACCUGUACUGACGCUCAUGCACGAAAGCGUGGGGAGCAAACAGGAUUAGAUACCCGCGUAGUCCCUGUCUCUUAUAC
rnacentral:rRNA from 1 species